rnacentral:rRNA from 1 species
CCUACGGGCGGCAGCAGUGAGGAAUAUUGGUCAAUGGACGAGAGUCUGAACCAGCCAAGUAGCGUGAAGGAUGACUGCCCUAUGGGUUGUAAACUUCUUUUAUAAAGGAAUAAAACGAGGCACGUGUGCCUUUUUGCAUGUACUUUAUGAAUAAGGAUCGGCUAACUCCGUGCCAGCAGCCGCGGUAAUACGGAGGAUCCGAGCGUUAUCCGGAGUUAUUGGGUUUAAAGGGAGCGUAGAUGGGUUGUUAAGUCAGUUGUGAAAGUUUGCGGCUCAACCGUAAAAUUGCAAUUGAUACUGGCAGUCGUGAGUACAGUUGAGGUAGGCGGAAUUCGUGGUGUAGCGGUGAAAUGCUUAGAUAUCACGAAGAACCCCGAUUGCGAAGGCAGCUUACUAAACUGUGACUGACAUUGAUGCUCGAAAGUGUGGGUAUCAAACAGGAUUAGAUACCCCAGUAGUC